AAGGAUCAUUAUUGAAAUAAACCUGAUGAGUUGCUGCUGGCUCUCUAGGGAGCAUGUGCACACUUGUCAUCUUUAUAUCUCCACCUGUGCACCUUUUGUAGAUCUGGAUAUCUCUCUGAGCGCUUAGCAACUCAGGUUUGAGGAUUGACUUUAUUGUCUCUCCUUACAUUUCCAGACCUAUGUUUCUUAUAUACCCCAAUGUAUGUCAUAGAAUGUAAUUAAUGGGCCUUUGUGCCUAUAAAUCUAUACAACUUUCAGCAACGGAUCUCUUGGCUCUCGCAUCGAUGAAGAACGCAGCGAAAUGCGAUAAGUAAUGUGAAUUGCAGAAUUCAGUGAAUCAUCGAAUCUUUGAACGCACCUUGCGCUCCUUGGUAUUCUGAGGAGCAUGCCUGUUUGAGUGUCAUUAAUAUAUAUCAACCUCUACACCUUUUGUUUGUUGAGUUGUUGGAUGUGGGGGCUCUUGCUGGCUUCUCUGAGGUCAGCUCCCCUGAAAUACAUUAGCGGAACGAUCCCCGUUCAUUGGUGUGAUAACUAUCUACGCUAUUGACGUGAAGUAGUUUGGCUUAUAACAGUCCAUUGACUUGGACAAAUUUUCAUUAAUGUGACCUCAAAUCAGG
rnacentral:rRNA from 1 species